rnacentral:ncRNA from 2 species
CGGCCUCACCGGGGGUGUCCGUUGCAAGACGGGCUGAGACAGUCCCCUUACCUGAUCUGGAUCAUGCCAGCGUAGGGAGCGUGAAGGCUCGAAGGU